rnacentral:rRNA from 1 species
GUAGGACUNCGCAUGGACGAAAGUCUGACGGAGCAACGCCGCGUGAGUGAUGAAGGUUUUCGGAUCCUAUAGCUCUGUUGUUAGGGAAGAACAAGUGCCGUUCAAAUAGGGCGGCACCUUGACGGUACCUAACCAGAAAGCCACGGCUAACUACGUGCCAGCAGCCGCGGUAAUACGUAGGUGGCAAGCGUUGUCCGGAAUUAUUGGGCGUAAAGGGCUCGCAGGCGGUUUCUUAAGUCUGAUGUGAAAGCCCCCGGCUCAACCGGGGAGGGUCAUUGGAAACUGGGGAACUUGAGUGCAGAAGAGGAGAGUGGAAUUCCACGUGUAGCGGUGAAAUGCGUAGAGAUGUGGAGGAACACCAGUGGCGAAGGCGACUCUCUGGUCUGUAACUGACGCUGAGGAGCGAAAGCGUGGGGAGCGAACAGGAUUAGAUACCCUGGUAGUCCACGCAA